GAAAUGCGAUAAGUAAUGUGAAUUGCAGAAUUCCGUGAAUCAUCGAAUCUUUGAACGCACAUUGCGCCCUCUGACAUUCCGGGGGGCAUGCCUGUCCGAGCGUCAUUACGCACCCUCAAGCCCGGCUUGUGUGAUGGGCCCCGGCGUCUCGUUCGCGAGACGGGCCCGAAAGGCAGCGGCGGCGUCGACCCGAUGAGCCCGAGCGUAUGGGGACUUCUGUCACACGUUCGCGGUGCGGACCGGCGCCUGCUUUGACUUUUCUGAUUAUCCAGGUUGACCUCGGAUCAGGUAGGGAUACCCGCUGAACUUAAGC
rnacentral:misc_RNA from 1 species